UACGUAGGGUGCGAGCGUUAAUCGGAAUUACUGGGCGUAAAGCGUGCGCAGGCGGUUUUGUAAGUCGGAUGUGAAAUCCCCAGGCUUAACCUGGGAACUGCAUCCGAUACUGGAUGGCUUGAAUCCGGGAGAGGGAUGCAGAAUUCCAGGUGUAGCGGUGAAAUGCGUAGAUAUCUGGAGGAAUACCGGUGGCGAAGGCGGCAUCCUGGACCGGCAUUGACGCUGAGUGAGCGAAAGCCAGGGGAGCAAACGGG
rnacentral:rRNA from 1 species